rnacentral:lncRNA from 1 species
CCAAAGCCUCCUAUUAUCACCCAUUAGUGAUAGGAUCAAGUUUGUUUUAAGUUGAAUUCAAAAGGUUUGAAUUUAAACCUAAAAUUUUAUCCUUAUCCUCCUACACACCGGCACCUUGUGAAGGACCCUGAUUUGUGCGACAAAAAGGAAGUGCUCCCAUAUGUUUUUUAUGCCCAUGACCCUCUGGUUGGCCCCUCUUUUAGUCAGA